UCUCCUCUUCCAUACGGUCCUAUUGUUAGGUUUAUGAAAUAUACUGCACUAAAAUUCUUAAAUUACUUUCUCUUGCAUUGAUCCACAGCACUUUGAAGCAUAUACCGUUGGAUGACACCACUGAAGAGGGGUGGAACAUUCAUACUAACCAUGUUGGCCUAGCUGGUUGACACUUUGCUGUCUUUAAAUGAUCGUCCAGUCAGCGGUUUCUCCCAGAUGCAGUUAUAAGUAGCAAGAACACUAGUUCCAGACUGGAGGACCAUGUUCGAUUCCAGGCAUUCUGAGAUUGUACCUUGAGAUGUGGCAUGUGCCUUGCGAGCUCUAGCAGGUGCUUCGUGCUUCUGACAUUGAUGUGGACAGCUGUCUUCAGCUUUUCAUCAAACCGGACAGUUGCUGCGAUAUGGAACACGACUCUCACUUCUUGACAUAGCAGCUCGCGAUCUGCUUCUCCGAGGCCCAAGCCGGGCAACCCACAGUCACCGGCCACAGCCCUCACUUUGGUCAUAUAGUUGGGACAGGCCUUCUUCAUGGAUUCAAACACCUGGACACAAUGAAACAAGUCAGCCCUGACCUUAUGGAUGUUAAUACAAGUUUGUACUGGGUGAGAUACCAGGUUCUCGUGGUGACGUGUGUGAAGACGGCUGUGUUCUGGGAUGUUGCACUGUGUAGUCUGGUAGGAAGUGUUCAGGGAUGCUUAUUGUAUAAUCGGGGUGAUGAGAGUGUUCCCAUCGCCCUAAUGACUGAGGCGGUAAGUACCUCUGAAACAUUUAUCGAUUUUUAUCAGGCAACCUGACGCAACAUUGCAGAAGGCAGUCAUCAAUUUUGUACUAAUUCUGAGCAUCAUCAGUCUCUGUGUGUUGUCUGGUUGUGAUCAAUUCUCUCCAUUCCUCUUGGAAAGGUGCCAGUUUGAAUACCGAGAAGGAUAAUAUUAAACUGAUCUUAGAGAACUGAUAGCUGUGAAUUGGAUUCAACUGGCUCGGGAUACAGGAUUUCGUCUUCCUGUCAGUGGUUCAUUUACUCGUUUCAUAAGUCGAAAACACACGUGCAGAGCAACAAAGCAAUAAGUUACCACGGAAUAAUGCCAGUUAGCACACUGACCCCAUGCCCUACGCUAUUGGCCCCAGGGCCAGGGACACAUGAUUCCUGUUUUCGAAGACUGGUAUAAUUGUUCAUAACAGAGUGAACACGCCAGCCAAAGUUGAUUACUUAAUAUGCUAAUUUCAAUUCAAUUCUUUAUUAUUAAUGUACUGUGUCAACAGCCAGAAGGCCAAUUACAGAUACAGCACAGAGACGAACACACGAACAAAGUAAUGAUUAUAAGAAUGUAACAACAAAGGGAAUAUAAAAUACAUGAGUGCAGAGGACUCCCAUACACAAAGAAAAAUUGCUACUAAA